rnacentral:misc_RNA from 1 species
CUAGGAAUAUCUUCACCAUUUUGAGUAGGAGCUGCAUGAUACUUAAGGCCAAAGGCUCUAUUUGGAUAGGGUGAGAAGAGAAAAAUGAUUGGAAUAAUAAAAGAGAGUAAGAGGAUUAGGGUAAGAAAGGUCCAUCCCAAGUAGCAAACUCUAACCCAAAUAAUUCGGGUCUUUAACUUGUCAAAUCCACAACAGCCAAGCAGCAGUGCCUCUGGACCUUUUCAAUCAACAGAAUACUAAUGUUGAUGGCAUGCAAUAUUGGGAGAGCUAUACUCAUGUCAACCAAAGGGAGUCGCAAGGCAUACAUUAAAACAAAGCCACACACAAAAGGAGAGCCAAGGCUAUGGAACGCAAUAAAUAGGUUAGAGGAUGGUUCAACAGAAGUCGGCAAGCCACACCAAUAAAGGACAUAAAGCGAUGAUGACAUUUUUUUUGUAAACAUGUAAAUAUGGAAUUGCAUUAAAUAAGGCCCAAAAUGGGCAGAAUUUUAUGAAAAAGUUAUAAUAAAACAAGGUUUCAAAUUCAGCUUCAACAAAAAUCCUACUACAGAGAGAAAUUCAACCAAAAACAAUAAAAUUAGUAAAGCUCAUGUGCCCAUAGGAUUCAAGAAGUUUCACUGAAAGAUGAAGUGAUGAUAUCUUUGAUCAUCGAUAUCCCACUUGUGCCAUGCUCCUAAAUCAAACCAUGGGACAAAGCCCUAAUCUCACACCUCUAAUUGGUUGAAAACAUGAGAGCAUCAUCACCCUCACAUUUUACCAAACUCUCUUAGCACCCCAACUCACGAUGAAGAGGGUAAACCCCACGAUCGGCUAGGGAAGGGAGCCCCAAGGGAAAGCUACGGAAGGCCAAGACAAACUCUUACAUGUAGAAACUGAAAAACCAGCAAAGAGAGGAUUUUCUUUCUCUAAAACCUUAGAUAGUGAGAAAGAGAUAAAAG